rnacentral:rRNA from 1 species
AUUGAACGCUGGCGGCGUGCUUAACACAUGCAAGUCGAUCGGUAACAGGUGUAGCAAUACAUGCUGACGAGAGGCGGACGGGUGAGGAAUAUUUGGGAAUCUGCCCAUCAGCGGGGGACAACCCGGGGAAACCCGGGCUAAUACCGCAUACGCUCUACGGAGGAAAGCCGGGGACCGCAAGGCCUGGCACUGAUGGAUGGGCCCAAAUCGGAUUAGCUAGUUGGCGGGGUAACGGCCCACCAAGGCGACGAUCCGUAGCUGGUCUGAGAGGACGAUCAGCCACACCGGAACUGGAACACGGUCCGGACUCCUACGGGAGGCAGCAGUGGGGAAUAUUGGACAAUGGGGGAAACCCUGAUCCAGCGACGCCGCGUGGGUGAAGAAGGCCUGCGGGUUGUAAAGCCCUUUCGGUAGGGACGAAAGCUCUUGCUCUAAUAAUGCAAGAGGUUGACUUAACCUACAUAAGAAGCACCGGCUAACUCUGUGCCAGCCGCCGCAGUAA